rnacentral:misc_RNA from 1 species
GACCAAAAAAAAAAAAAAAACUAUCAUUAUUAAUUUCCAUUAUAAGUCUUGACAUUUAUUGGAGAGCCUGCUGCCUCAAAUAAAAGUCCUAUCUAGCAAGGAGUAAAAUCCUAAAGAAAUAGGGAAAGAGAAGUCAGCAACAUGAAAGUCCUAAAUGAAAUUGGAAUUGGCUACAAUAUCUCAAAUCCUUGAGGAAAGAGAAUAAAUAAAAGAAACAAUUAGUGUUUUCUAAAGGAAAUAGGAAAAGAAAUCAGACCCUUGAUUUAAAAAAGUGCUAAAUCAUUUUUUUUUGGCACCCUUGUUAAUUGUAGGACACUGCUUGGGUUCUCCUGGCCAGAUGAUGUAGACAACAUGAACAUAUAAUGACUUACCUGCUAUGUGGCAGUUGUCAUUCUAUGAUUUCCUGACCAUGUGACAGCCAUUUGUGACUGUUGUAGUCUGUGUAUUCUUGCGGCACUUGUGCCACAAGACAUUGAAUUGAAAGCAAAACGCAGAAUAUGGUAUAGUGAAAUAUAUCACUGCAAUUGAAUGUGAUAAUAUUAUGCUUUCAUGCAGUACAUAAUUUAAUUGCCUUGAGAACCAGAAACUCUAUAAUGCUGAUAAAGAAUGAAGAGAAAACUACCCCAUCAAACGCUAUUAGCUAGUCUGGAAACAAAAAUGAUGUCCUCUAGAGACCUGAAUGCUUGUAGCAUGCGAGUUCAUUUGGAAAAAGGAUAUUUGGCUUUGGAUGUGCCUAAAUUCCCAAGAAUUGCUGGAGUGUAGCAAUGUUCAUUGUAUUUCCUAUUUUAAGACUUAGGAAAUGAAGUGGAAUUACCAAUUUGCAUGAUCUCAUUUUUUGCCUGUGAAUUAGAUCCUGCAGAAUACACAAAUUUGGGUUUGAUUUUAUAAUUAUUAUUGUUGUCUAUGUUAGGGCAUUCCACCAUUAUCGUGGGC